UGGCUCAGAGGUUAAAGCGUCUGCCUGGAAUGCAGGAGACCCGGGUUCGAUCCCUGG
rfam:TPA: Bos taurus chromosome 20, whole genome shotgun sequence.